GGUAUAGCUGAAUGGUAGAGCUCCUGCUUAGCAUGCAGGAGGUCCUGGGUUCAAUCCCUACCUAGUACC
rnacentral:tRNA from 1 species